rnacentral:rRNA from 1 species
CCUACGGGGGGCAGCAGUGAGGAAUAUUGGUCAAUGGACGAGAGUCUGAACCAGCCAAGUAGCGUGAAGGAUGACUGCCCUAUGGGUUGUAAACUUCUUUUAUAUGGGAAUAAAACGUUCCACGUGUGGGAUUUUGUAUGUACCAUAUGAAUAAGGAUCGGCUAACUCCGUGCCAGCAGCCGCGGUAAUACGGAGGAUCCGAGCGUUAUCCGGAUUUAUUGGGUUUAAAGGGAGCGUAGGUGGAUUGUUAAGUCAGUUGUGAAAGUUUGCGGCUCAACCGUAAAAUUGCAGUUGAAACUGGCAGUCUUGAGUACAGUAGAGGUGGGCAGAAUUCGUGGUGUAGCGGUGAAAUGCUUAGAUAUCACGAAGAACUCCGAUUGCGAAGGCAGUUCACUGGACUGCAACUGACACUGAGGCUCGAAAGUGUGGGUAUCAAACAGGAUUAGAUACCCUUGUAGUC